AAUAUAUAGUUUUCAUCCUUCAUAAUACAAUCUCACAUAUCAAAGAACAUUUCUAAAAA
rnacentral:sRNA from 1 species